rnacentral:lncRNA from 1 species
GUUUGUGUGAUGUGUGUGUGACGUGUGUGUGUGUGUGAUGUGUGAUAUGUGAUGUGUGUGUGUGUGUGUGAUAUGUGUGUGAUGUGUGCGUAAUGUGUGUGUGUGUGAUGUGUGUGUGUGUAUAUGUGAUGUGUAUGUGCGUGUGUGAUGUGUGUGUGAUAUGUGUGAUGUGUGUUUGGGUGUGUGUGUGAUGUGUAUGAUGUGUGUGUGAUGUAUGUGAUGUGUGUGUGUGUGUGUGUGUGUGUG